GCUCCAGACUCCUACGGGAGGCAGCAGUAGGGAAUCUUUCACAAUGGGCGAAAGCCUGAUGGAGCGACGCCGCGUGCAGGAUGAAGGCCUUCGGGUUGUAAACUGCUUUUAUAAGCGAGAAAUAUGAUGGUAACUUAUGAAUAAGGAUCGGCUAACUACGUGCCAGCAGCCGCGGUAAUACGUAGGUGGCAAGCGUUAUCCGGAUUUACUGGGUGUAAAGGGCGUGUAGGCGGGACUGCAAGUCAGAUGUGAAAACCACGGGCUCAACCUGUGGCCUGCAUUUGAAACUGUAGUUCUUGAGUACUGGAGAGGCAGACGGAAUUCCUAGUGUAGCGGUGAAAUGCGUAGAUAUUAGGAGGAACACCAGUGGCGAAGGCGGCCUGCUGGACGACAACUGACGGUGAGGCGCGAAAGCGUGGGGAGCAAACAGGAUUAGAUACCCUGGUAAAA
rnacentral:rRNA from 1 species